UUGGUACUCCCUCCGAUCCAUAUUAAUUGUUGAAAUAUUACAUGUAUCUAGACACUUUUUAGGCAUAGAUACAUCCAUAUUUGGGCAAAUUUGAGACAAUUAAUAUGGAUCGGAAGGAGUAUUAU
rfam:Brachypodium distachyon strain Bd21 chromosome 1, whole genome shotgun sequence.